CAUUUGGUCAGAGCCAAAGAUCAUAAACAGGCUGGAAAGUAGGAAGAAUAAGCCUGUUUAUGUCAAGAUUGCAAAAGGCAUGCAGGCGCAAGGGCACAAUUGUGACUGGACCCAGGCCUGGUGCAAGAUCAAGUCCCUGAGAUCAGUAUUUCACAGAGCCAAAGAUGUGAACUCUCAUUCUGAGGCAGGUCACACAAUUGCCCCCUUCGAUGACAAACUGUCCAUUAUUCUCUCCGAGGAUGCGGAUGACAACCCAGGUAUGGAGACUUUCAGCAUUGGUGUUGGGCAGCAGCCCCUCCUGAGAGUGAAACCAGGAGCAUGUCUCAGCUGUACAAAGACUGCUCCCUGAUGACCAUGAGUGGCAGGAAGAACUGUUGGUCAACAUUCACUUAGUGCCGCUUAGCCCCUCCGUUCCAAAGACAAGCAAAGAUGAUGAAGCGGAGCAGGUGGAGGGUCAGGAAGAAACCCAUGUGGCUGAUACAUCAUCUACUGUUACUGAGACCCAAGAACAUGCUGGACCUGCUAGCACGUGCAGUGGCAGCCACAGACCUGUUUCUGAAGCGAGUACUUCCACUUCAACCUAUGGCCAUCCAGAACAGUGCCCCAC